rnacentral:tRNA from 1 species
GCCCGUCUAGCUCAGUUGGUAGAGCGUAAGGCUCUUAACCUUAGCCCCAGGGUGGGCG